GACGAACGCUGGCGGCGUGCCUAAUACAUGCAAGUAGAACGCUGAAGAGAGGAGCUUGCUCUUCUUGGAUGAGUUGCGAACGGGUGAGUAACGCGUAGGUAACCUGCCUUGUAGCGGGGGAUAACUAUUGGAAACGAUAGCUAAUACCGCAUAACAAUGGAUGACCCAUGUCAUUUAUUUGAAAGGGGCAAAUGCUCCACUACAAGAUGGACCUGCGUUGUAUUAGCUAGUAGGUGAGGUAACGGCUCACCUAGGCGACGAUACAUAGCCGACCUGAGAGGGUGAUCGGCCACACUGGGACUGAGACACGGCCCAGACUCCUACGGGAGGCAGCAGUAGGGAAUCUUCGGCAAUGGGGGCAACCCUGACCGAGCAACGCCGCGUGAGUGAAGAAGGUUGUCGGAUCGUAAAGCUCUGUUGUAAGUCAAGAACGAGUGUGAGAGUGGAAAGUUCACACUGUGACGGUAGCUGACCAGAAAGGGACGGCUAACUACGUG
rnacentral:rRNA from 1 species